rnacentral:rRNA from 1 species
ACGGAAGGCAGCAGUCGGGAAUAUUGCACAAUGGAGGAAACUCUGAUGCAGUGACGCCGCGUACAGGAAGAAGGUCCUCUGGAUUGUAAACUGUUGUCGAAGGGGAAGAUACAAGACAGUACCCUUGGAGGAAGCUCCGGCAAACUACGUGCCAGCAGCCGCGGUAAUACGUAGGGAGCGAGCGUUAUCCGGAUUUAUUGGGUGUAAAGGGCGCGUAGACGGUUAGAUAAGUUAGUUGUGAAAUCCCUAGGCUCAACUUAGGAACUGCAACUAAAACUGUCUGACUUGAGUAUGGGAGAGGAAAGCGGAAUUCCUAGUGCAGCGGUGAAAUGCGUAGAUAUUAGGAAGAACACCGGUGGCGAAGGCGGCUUUCUGGACUGUAACUGACACUGAGGCACGAAAGCGUGGGGAGCAAACAGGAUUAGAUACCCUGGUA